UACGUAGGUGGCAAGCGUUGUCCGGAAUUAUUGGGCGUAAAGCGCGCGCAGGCGGCCUUUUAAGUCUGAUGUGAAAGCCCACGGCUCAACCGUGGAAGGUCAUUGGAAACUGAAAGGCUUGAGUACAGAAGAGGAAAGCGGAAUUCCACGUGUAGCGGUGAAAUGCGCAGAUAUCGGGAGGAACACCGGUGGCGAAAGGCGGUUCUCUGGCCCGGUACUGACGCUGAGGUGCGAAAGCGUGGGGAGCAAACAGG
rnacentral:rRNA from 1 species